AGGAAGAUUCCCUGGAGGAGAGCAUGGUAACCCACUCCAAUAUUCUUGCCUGGAGAAUCCCAUGGACAGAGGAGCCUGGUGGGCUACAAUCCAUAGGGUCACAAAGAGACACUCAACUUAGCAGGCAUGCACUCAGGAUUAACCCAACCAACUCUGCUGACUCUGCUAAGGACAGAUGAACGAAAUCAGGACAUGUUAUAAAUGAGUUAGAGGAGGAUGUGUGCCAAAUGCUGGCCCAUCAGCGCCUCCACUUGGCUCACGAACCCCAGGAGUGAGAAUCUGUCAGGGUAACAUACACCACCAUAAGAAAGGAACCCUCAGUUGAGAGGCAUUUUUUCUUUUUAAACAAAAGGGGCAUGUAUAACUCCAACUGAUGCAGCCAGAGGACCAGUUAACAGUGGGAAAGAGAAAAGAACCAUAGAAAAGAGAGCAGGAUGAAGAUGAGAACCUCAUAGCAGAAAGGAUUUGUGAGUAACUGUCAAACAUCUGCCUGUCACCUUCAGGGCAGGGCCCGGCUCUCCCUACAGCAAGAAACAAGGAGCCUUGAAGACUCCCUCUCAUUACGGCUGUCAGGGGCUCUGCAUGGAUGCUUCAUGGAGAACAGAAGUGCUAAACUGGAUCUUCUGACUUCUGGUUUUUUACUGACUAGUGUGGCUGUAAAUGGGAACAGAAAUGGUUAGAGUUACAGAAAAUGACGAAGACUAGUCAUCAUUUGAUGAAACAAAGAUGAAGAUUCUGAAUAACCACAGGUUGAGGUCAUGCAGUCUACUUCCAAAAGCUCUCACCAUGGCCCUUCUGUGGCAUCACCUUCCCCUGUUGCAGCCGCAAGGAGCCAUCACUGGGUGGAGAAGUACGACUGCAAGCUGCUGGUGUGACCCACACAAGCCUGACCGACAAAGCUGAAAAGCAGAGAUUGCCUGAUCCGACGUAAUCACUGCCAUGUCUCUGACUCAACUUGCCCACUUGCAACUGGCACACAUGCAAAUCACGUACGAGCAAUGUCAGCAACCAGUUUAGAGUGAGCGUGUGAAGCAAACGACACACAUUCAUAGGCUCCAAAACUGGCACAUCUGGGAAAGACCAGGUGCCGCUUCUGAGUGUCUUGGUGGUCCUCGUGGUCUUGUCCAGGAUAAUAAGAGGAUGAGAAAUUAGGCCCAUCUUUGGU
ensembl:lncRNA